CAUUUCCUAUUUCUAAUGACUAAAUUCUGAUGGUCAUAUAAUCACCAAUUUCUGGCCAGGGAAGAUAUAGUUAAGAGCUAGCAUUCCUUGUUUACAGUGUAUGCUAUUCUUUAUGUGGCUCCAUAUAAUCCAGUCUCAAACAACCAUAUCACAAUUCCUUCUAUAAGGCAAAUAGGGGUCCUGUAAGAAUCUAAAUAAAAAAAUAAUAAUAAUAAUGGUAGAAAUAGCUUUUUAGAUUUUGACUUGAACACCUGAACUACCUGAGAACAUUCACACUGCGCAAACCAUUCUUUCACUUGCAGCAGCUAUGCUUUGAGGAAGAAAUAGAAUAUUUGGUUUAGAAUACAAUCAGUACCUAAUCUUGCAGGUGAUUCAUGCUUUCAGAUGGAUUAUCAGUUGAUCCAGUAGUUUAUCAGUAUCAUUUGGCAGAUCACCUGCCCUGCCGACUACUAGAAAAUAAUUGUAUCUUAGACUAUCAAUGAGAUGACUGAUAGUCCGUUGUAAACAUCACAUCAGUUGCAAAGUUAAUACAAAACAAAAUAUUCCUACAUCAAAUCAAAAUGAUAUUCAUGGGAAGAAAAAUAUCAAAAUAUGUUUUAUCAAGACACAAAAUACUCUUAACUAGAGUGAUGCAGUAGUGGUUCUGGCUCCAUAGAGUGGCGUCAGAAAGGAGUAAUGGCAUUUUGGUUCAGUGAUAUUCGGCACCUUGAAAAUGAAAUACUGUUUGCAUUAUAGGACACCGUUAAAAGCACAGUAACGUAGGGCAUGGAGUCCUGAGUGAAAGUUUUUGAUAUAUGCCUUUUGCUCAGUUACUGCAAAUUACUAUUGGUCACCUAUAAAAUAUGUAGCAGCAGCGCACUUGGUAUAAGUAUGGCUUGACAAUGUGAUCCUCUAGCAAUAUAGGGUCAAACAUUACUUUCUGAUUGGCCCUGGAUAUACUCAUUCAUUUUGUAGCCAUACCUUUAAAAAUCAACAUUUAGCAAAAGCACCUGAGUUAAGUCUGCAAUAGUUGGAAGACAGUCCUUGGUUAAGAUUUCCAGUUUCAAAUGCCAAUACUAGAGGAGUGUUCUAGCACCUGACUGUAGAAAUAUUCACGGAUAUUUUUUCAUCAAUUCGAGGAUUUCGUUGUACAUGCGAUAAGGUGCAUCUAAUCCCCAGAUGAAAUCUAGAUGUUCCCAUUCUGGAAUCUCCUUGUGAUAAACCAAAUUACUGACUUGUGUAAGCAACAUGGCAAUAUCCUUGCGGUCUGCUAGCCAGUCAUUGCCUCCAGUCCACAGGGCAGUUGGGACCUUCAUAUUUCUCACAUUGUACAUAGGGGGAGUGCUCUGAAAGAAAAAGCACGGUCAGAAU